GCAGUGCGCCGUAGCGGGGAAACGACGCGUCUCCCCCGGACAAGGUCGAGCAAAGCGCCGCUGGAAGCAGCCGCGUUUUAUCCAGCAGAAAGUAACGGCUCCGUGAGACUGUGUUUCUCUCCAAUCUAUAAUCUAUAUUAUAUAUUAUAUACUGUACAUGUACAAUAAGAACUGCAGUACCGGAUCAUGUAUAAAUACACAGAAAUACUGCAGCAGGAGGACAGCCACAGAAAGACGCAGAAAGAGCAGCAGGUCAGACAGGAAGCUGCAUUCAGGAGGAUCAAACUGUGGCCCGCGGCCCUGCAGGGGUCUCUGAGGAGCAUCCGAGGGUCCAGAAGAGGAUGUUAGAUAUGAUUCACGGCAUUAUAAAGAAGGGGGUCCAGGUCACCACCCUGACGGCGGUCUGAGCGGCCCUCCGGAUGUCUGGGUGCCUGGCCUCGGUCGUCCUGGCCAGCAGGGGGAGCUGCUGCAGCAGGAGGCGGCGGCCGUCCGGAGCUUCGGCCAGCGCCGUCAGAGCUCUCAGCGAGUAGAGGACCAAGGCCUUUGACCGCUCGUCUUCCUCCAGCCGUUUGGACAGAAGGUCCAGCAGAACCGGAACCACGUCCAGGUCCAGACAGCGGAGCUUCCCUGGACGGACAAUCAGAGCCAAUGAGAGGACCAGAACCUGCUGGACCACUUUGGAAAAGUUUUAUGUCUGAGUAAACAGGAAGAGGCUCCACCUGCUGGAGCAACCAGGAACUACAGCUGAUCUACGAUGCGUUCAUGACAUCGAGUCGUCAGGAGUUCUGUACCUGCGGUGAUGAUCGCCACGUUCAUGACGACUCCGGCAGCGUUGGUCCGAACGUCCACGUCUUCGUCCUGCAGCAGACCGACGAGGACAGGAAGGACCGCCCCCUCACACACCUGCCGCUUCCCCUCCACAGGUAUGCUGAGACAAACAAACAAACAAACAAACUGUGGAACUGUGUACAGUAAACAAACAAACAAACAGUGGAUCAGGUGAACAAACAAACUAACAAAAACAAACAAACAGUGGAACCAGUGUACAGUAAACAAACAAACAAAAAGUGGAACCAGUGUACAGUAAACAAACAAACAAACAGUGGAACCAGGGAACAAACAAACAAACAAUGGAACCACUCUACAGUAAACAAACAAACAGUGGAACCAGUAUACAGUGAACAAAUAAACAAUGAAACCAGUGAACAAACAAACAAACAGUGGAACCAGUGAACAAACAAACAAAUAAACCAUGGAACCAUGUACAGUGAACAAACGAACAAGCAAACAAACAACCAGUGGAAGCGUCGUUCAACCUGAGCUCCAUCAAUGAUGCCGCCGCCUCCCUGCGGACCUCCGGGGAGCGUCGGGUCAGUUUGCGGCCGAGCAGAGAGACUCCGUCUGAGGCCAGAGCCGGCAGAGCGUCGAGUCUGGAGCAGCAGCUGAUGGUGGAGAGCAGCAGCACCUCUUCCUCAUCUCCAUCAUCUCCAUCAUCUUCAUCCUCUCCAUCCUGUUGCUGGAGCUUCAGCAUCAAUUUAGGAACCAGACAGAGGAGAGCGUCUGCACCUGCAGGACGACGACACAGAAAUAAACCAGGUAAACACAGAAAUAAACCAGGUAAAGACAGGAAGUGAUGCGUGUUCUGGGGGCGGAGCUAACCUGCCGGCAGCAGAGCCAGGCAGUUCAGAGCUCGGAGAGCAUUGAUCCUAGAGGAGGACGAGGAGUCGUCCAGGAGCUGAGACAGCGAAGGGAGGAGGGAGGAGGAGAGAACAGCCUGUCUGCAGGAGGAAACAGGAAGUAGAACGGCUCAACACACCUAAACAGGAAGUAGAAUAAAUUUACAGACCGAAACAGGAAGUAGAACAAACUAACAUUAACGCUGUGUUUUUAUCUUGUUUUCUGUGUUGAUUUUUUUAUUUAUUUUCCUUUUCAGAUUAAUUUUACAACUUGCUUUAGUAUUUUUUGUGUUGCUGUAGUAUUUUACAUUUCUUUGAUUUUUUUAAAUUUAAUUUGACUUUCAAAUAAUGUUUUGAUGUAGAAAAAUGUUUUAAUCGGUUUCCUGCUAAAAAGAGCUGCUGCUGAUUCUUGCCACCUGUUUUUGGUCGUUUUGCUGUUGUUGUUUUGUGUUUUUAUUUAUCUUUGCACUUUUAAACUUUAUUUUUAUUUUUUAUUUUUAUUUUUUCUGUUAAGCCACUUUAUCCUCAUCUCUCACCCUUGUAUAUACUGUAAAUAUUAUUACUAUUGUUCUAUUAUUAUUUUAUUCUUAUCACUACGUCCACUGUUACAUAAGCUGCUGUAACAAUGUAAAUUUCCCCUGGAGUGGGGAGAAAUAAAGAACUUUAUCUUUA